CCCCAGAGUAAUCAACAAAUAACAAAAUGUCAUCCAUAACUAAGGAUCCAAUUCCAAGACAGCGACAGUAGAUAGUACGCGAGACCGUUUCUGCGUGGGCGUGCUCCGUGUCGUGUUUCCUGGAUUGCGUGCUGCACGCGGAGAUUGAAAUGAAAUCCUUUUACCAGUCUGUCGUGCUGUAGCUUGGUUUAAACGAUUGCUGGCAAGGUUAGAUAGUCUGCUUUGCAUUUCUUGUGUCCGC